AUAAACAACAGUUUGGUCCUGGCCUUUGUAUUAGUUGUCUGCAUAAUUAUACAUGCAAAAAUCCUUAUACCGGUGGGAAUGACCUCUGUACCACAUUCCAGGUUUAAACAGGAGCGGGCAUCAAGCACACCACAAAGCAGCUCAGGACGCCUUGCUUGGCCACACCCCUACGGGAAACAGCAAUAAUAAAAAUUCAGCAAUAAAGGAAAGUUUGACUAAGUCAUGCUGCUAUUAGGGUCAGUAAAUUUUGUGCCAGCCACUGUGGUCAUACCACUAACCCAAAUUAAUAAAACCCGGCGUAAAAAGUGUUUUAGAGACAUAAAAAAUAAGACUAAGCUUUAUCCAAGUCGUAAAAAAACUCUAGAUAAAGUAUAAAUCAAAAACGAAAGUAAUCUUAACAAGUCUGAGCGCACGAAAGCUAACGCCCAAACUGGGAUCAGAUACCCCACUAUACUUAGCCGUUAACAUAAAAACUUGCAUAACAAAAGGUUUCACCUGAGAACUACUAGCAAUAGCUUAAAACUCAAAGGACUUGGCAGUGCUUUAUACCUGCCUAGAGGAGCCUGUUCUAUAAUCGAUAAACUCCGAUAUACCUCACCACUCCUUGCUAAUUCAGCCUAUAUACUGCCAUCUUCAGCGAACCCAAUUAUGGAAACAAAGUAAGCACAAGUACACUACAUAAAAACGUUAGGUCAAGGUGUAGCCAAUGGAGUGGGAAGAAAUGGGCUACAUUUCCUUACUGAGGAACAACAAAGGCGAGUCUUUAUGAAAUUUAAAGACCUAAGGAGGAUUUAGUAGUAAAUCAAGAAUAGAGAGCUUGGUUGAGCUAGGCCAUAAAGCAUGUACACACCGCCCAUCACCCUCCUCAAGUAUCCAAGAGUUUUAUAUAAACUAACAAAUAUAAGAGGAGACAAGUCGUAACAAGGUAAGCAUACUGGAAAGUGUGCUUGGAAACAAAGUGUA
rnacentral:ncRNA from 1 species